GGCCAGACUCCUACGGGAGGCAGCAGUGAGGAAUAUUGCACAAUGGGGGAAACCCUGAUGCAGCGACGCCGCGUGAGUGAAGAAGUAUUUCGGUAUGUAAAGCUCUAUCAGCAGGGAAGAAAAUGACGGUACCUGACUAAGAAGCCCCGGCUAACUACGUGCCAGCAGCCGCGGUAAUACGUAGGGGGCAAGCGUUAUCCGGAUUUACUGGGUGUAAAGGGAGCGUAGACGGCAUGGCAAGUCAGAUGUGAAAGCCCGGGGCUCAACCCCGGGACUGCAUUUGAAACUGUCAGGCUGGAGUGCAGGAGAGGUAAGUGGAAUUCCUAGUGUAGCGGUGAAAUGCGUAGAUAUUAGGAGGAACACCAGUGGCGAAGGCGGCUUACUGGACUGUAACUGACGUUGAGGCUCGAAAGCGUGGGGAGCAAACAGGAUUAGAUACCCGGGUA
rnacentral:rRNA from 1 species